GCCCUAUUGCCUCGCCAUAAGGCGAGAUCUCUCCUCUUGUCGAUGAAGCCCUGAAGUAUCGUCGCGCCAUCACUUCCAGGUUCUGGAAUCAAGGCUGGCUGCGUUCCUUCUCCAGGCCGAGUUGUCCCGUUGUUGUUAACGCGUGUGAGAAGGGACUAUGUGGCAGGAUUUGGAUAGAUUGGGAUGGCCGGUUUAUUGAGCUGUGACAGACGCGGUUGCACAAGGGUUUGGGUGCGAUAAGAAGGUUGAGUAAGAGUAGAUUGGGUGAGUGUUGUUGGUUGAGUGAGGAUUUGGAGGGUUUUAGAUCCAGAGUCGAGGCAUCAUCGGCACGAUGUCGGGCGCAACGUUGGCCGCUGGGCCGAGGAUGGCCAAGGAGCGGAAAGGGCGACUGUCCGCUGUGGACGAGAACGUGAGCGAUUUCGGAGGGUUAGGAGGCGUGAUGGGAUCGUUCAGGGUGAUUGAAUUGCAGUUGAUGGCGUUCAUUGUUGUGUUCUCUGCCAGUGGGCUGGUGCCGUUGAUCGACAUUCUGUUUCCUGUGGUUAUCAGUAUCUAUGCCGUCGUGAUAGGGAAGCUUGUGUUCCCGCGGUACAAAAACGCGGAGCUGUCUGUGUUCAAGGGUAACCGCGUUUUUCAGGCGUACGUGAUCUUUGGGACCCUGGUAGGGCUGUUCUUGCCCUUGGCGUACGUGUUGGGUGGGUUUGCUAGGAACGACCAAGAAGCAGUGCGAGCUGCGACGCCGCACCUGUUCCUGCUCUCAUGCCAGGUGCUGAGUGAGAAUCUCGUGAGUGGGUUGCAAAUCUUCUCUUUGCCUGUUAGGGCUUUGAUGCCUCUUAUGUACAAUACGCGGCGGCUCUUUGCGCUUGUGGAUUGGACCGAAGAGAUGUGGAUCACAAGGCACUUGUCGGCGCAUCCUACGCUGAACGAGAAAGCAUGGCUUCGGUUUGGACAGGGGUUGGCAGCCGUAAACACGAUCUAUUACACCAUAAACUUAUUUGGGUUUUUGAUCCCCAUGUUCCUGCCACGCGCUUUUGAGCGUUAUUUUGAGUCACGGGCAGCGUACAUGGAAGAGAAAGCAAGGAUGAAAGCUGAGGCGGAAGCUGAGGCUGAGAGGAAGAAGGCAGAGGAGAUUGAGAGGAAGUCUCGCCUUCCCACACCUGCUCGUCCCCCAGGAGGGAGACGUGGAGUCGAGCAACAGCAGCUCUCGACAUUGGAGUAUGCAGAGCAAAUCGUUCAACACUUCUUGCAAUCUAGCAAAGUUGCUAGUAACGUCGCUGUAGUCGACGACUAUGGUGAGACGAAGAAGAAUCCUAGACGCUGGUAUGUAACCAUCCCCAUGCUUCUCCUGUUGCUCUUCCCACAAUCUGCCGACUGACGAAUAUCGUGCACACUCGUUAACCAUCUUUUGUGAUCAUGGAGCAAAUGAGCAUAUUCCUUCGUUUCCCUUGCAACACUAUCUGAACCACCCACGUAGUGUAUGCUAGGAAUCUGCAGCAAAGUAUUUCUAAACUUAAUGUAUUACAGCCACGGAAUUUAAAUUAUUAUUAUUGCUCAACUUGCUUGGUACAAAAAUCCUGUCGGUAGAGACGGCCGUAUUCUUGCCUGAUCUGAUAUAUAUGAUGUACUAAUUGAAUAUAAAUCAACCAAUUAUCACAUGCUCGUUCGGAGCUUAAGGAAAGCAUAGAUCAAGUGGAUCGUCGACGACAUUGGCAGCACAGCAAGAGGCAUACCCAACAACUCUGCGGUACAACGAAGAAAGAAGUGUUGGUUUUGAUGAGGGUAUUUCAUUCCCUUACAAAAUCCCGAAGAAGUCGAAGACAAUCACAGGUCGAGGAGUGCUUGUGCAAAAAAUUCAACAAAGUGAAGUGACUAUGGUGUUCAAAGGAAACUACCAGGCCCUCCUUGUUCAUUCUGGAAGUAAAAACCCUGCACUUCAUCUUGUGUCUUCUCUGUGAGAGUGCCUACUUUCUCAUCAAUCGCAGCGUUGCCGCACAGAAUAUUCACUCUGGUGCGAGCCUGAAGAUGUUCAACAAACGAAGCACUUCAGAUUCGCCUCAUGAAAGAUUCGCUGACUUGGAUUAAAGUCACAGUAACUAGCCACAGUUGUGGAUUUUCUCUCUCUCGAAGUGAAGAUCUUUAUUCUUUAUAGUGAUGCAUUAAAAGAAGGAAGUGAUGAACGUACCUUUUUGAGCCGAUAUGGUGUGAGAUAAGGCUUGAAAGGGCAGUUCAACAACUCCUGUUGCUGCCUUUCCUUCCUAAUUGAUGCUACUUUACGUUCA